rnacentral:sRNA from 1 species
CCAUUUUCUCGAGGACUGCGCAGCUGGCAGACGGGAAGGAACCGUUGUGUACAGAGUACUAUAUGAAUACAUAUAUGGCUAACGGGAACAUUCAUUCAUUCAUUCAUUCAUUAAUCCCAAGGCAUGGCCUACUCGAACAUAUCGACCCUUGCCUGCCAUGUAUCUCACUCCUUCAUAUUCCGCACGGAGGGGCAAUGAAUGUACAGUACAAUACUUCGAACCCAGAGCGGGAAUAGCAUGUGCGAAUGAUAGCCACCAGUCAGUCACCUUCCACCUAAAGGAAAUUUGACCAUACAAUAGGGCUGUCAAGGUUCUUCAUCAAAUCUGGUUUUUUGUUUAUUUAUUUUAUUUUAUUUUAUUUCCUGGCCUCGACCUGUCUCUCCACUUACCAUCAA